rnacentral:rRNA from 1 species
GUCCACGCCGUAAACGAUGCGCACUAGGUACGAGGGCUCUGACUGCUCUCGUGCCGAAGCAAAAGUGUUAAGUGCGCCGCCUGGGGAGUACGGCCGCAAGGCUAAAACUCAAAGGAAUUGACGGGGUCUCACACAAGCGGUGGAGCAUGUGGAUUAAUUCGAAGCAACGCGAAGAACCUUACCUGGGUUAGAAAACGCGGAUGCCCUUCCCGAAAGGGGAGUAGGCUGCCUUCGGGUGAAACGCGGUUCAGGUGCUGCAUGGCUGUCGU